CUUUUACUCUACGAGUAACGGGUAUACUAAUAAUCAAAAUCAAAAAGUAAAAAUUAGUUCCCAAGUCGAAAUGUUAUCCUAAGCACUAGUUCAAAUCUUUAUUAAUUUUGUAACUUACAAAUUAAUAUACUAAAGAGGGAUAAUGCGCCGGACCUUAAAAUCUCAUAACCAUCUUACAGGUGGCUUGGGUAGCAAUACUCAACUGGAAACGUGCAAAGAAGGCAGCACUUAUCAUUAAGCGUCAUAAAUCCAGAAGAUCCCACGUUUACGGUAUCAUGAUUGUGCCCAAAUACGCAAAUGGAGCUUAUUAGAUAUUAUUUAUAUUGACGACUUUCUUUAAUAAUUUUUGGACCACAAUGGACUGAAUGAAAACAGGUCUAAAAUUCUGUCACCAUUAUUUACCAACUCCUUAAACAGUCUACAAAUCCCAAUGUAUCGAUAUUUUUGCACAGAG